rnacentral:tRNA from 1 species
GUAAUAGCUCAGUUGGUAGAGUGGCAGACUAAUAAUCAGCCAAAGAAAAAGUUGCGGUGGGUUCAAAUCCACCUAUGUU